CCUACGGGGCGCUGCAGUGAGGAAUAUUGGUCAAUGGCCGCAGGGCUGAACCAGCCAAGUCGCGUGAGGGAUGACGGUCCUAUGGAUUGUAAACCUCUUUUGUCAGGGAGCAAAGGGCGCCACGUGUGGCGCUUUGCGAGUACCUGAAGAAAAAGUAUCGGCUAACUCCGUGCCAGCAGCCGCGGUAAUACGGAGGAUGCGAGCGUUAUCCGGAUUUAUUGGGUUUAAAGGGUGCGCAGGCGGAAUGUCAAGUCAGCGGUAAAAUUUCGGGGCUCAACCCCGUCGUGCCGUUGAAACUGGCGUUCUUGAGUGAGCGAGAAGUAUGCGGAAUGCGUGGUGUAGCGGUGAAAUGCAUAGAUAUCACGCAGAACUCCGAUUGCGAAGGCAGCAUACCGGCGCUCAACUGACGCUCAUGCACGAAAGCGUGGGUAUCGAACAGGAUUAGAUACCCGUGUAGUC
rnacentral:rRNA from 1 species